GGUAAUGCAGGCCCCAACUCAAUAGAUAGCUGGCGGCUGUGCUCAGGAAAACGGGCUUUCACUUGCCUCCAUAAUAAGCAGUUACCUAUGGCAACCAGCUAACACCUCCAUCCAACACAUGGACCUGAAUCUGCCAAAAUGCUGAACCUCGAGGAGAGAAGAAAACUAAUUCAGAAAGAAAACAUUUUCAUUAGAGGUCAGAAAGUAAAGAGACAGCUCGUGGCAACCCAUGGCAGAACUGCAAUCACACCGAUGCUGCUCACACACCCCUGAAUCCCAGUGCUGCUCAGGCUUUGAUUAAAUGUCCCAAGAUGGGAUUCAACACCUGGCUGAAGAGUUUUGUUCCUGG